GAGGUCACUGCUAUCAGUGUUCGANUAAGCCAUGCAAGUCAAAUGUUNUUCGUGAACAUGNCGGACUGCUCAGUAACACGUGGAUAACCUGCCCUUUAGGAUUGGCAUAACACCGGGAAACUGGUGAUAAUACCGAAUAGACCAUUUAUGCUGGAAUGCUUUUUGGUUCAAAGGCUUCGGCUGCCUAAGGAUGGAUCUGCGGCCUAUCAGGUAGUAGUGGGUGUAAUGUACCUACUAGCCUACGACGGGUACGGGUUGUGAGAGCAAGAGCCCGGAGAUGGAUUCUGAGACAUGAAUCCAGGCCCUACGGGGCGCAGCAGGCGCGAAAACUUUACAAUGCGGGAAACCGCGAUAAGGGGACACUGAGUGCCAGCAUAUUAUGUUGGCUGUCCACAUGUAUAAAAAUCAUGUGUUAGCAAGGGCCGGGCAAGACCGGUGCCGGCCGCCGCGGUAACACCGGCGGCCCGAGUGGUGAUCACUUUUAUUGGGUCUAAAGGGUCCGUAGCCGGUUUGAUCAGUCUUCUGGGAAAUCUGACAGCUCAACUGUUAGGCUUUCAGGGGAUACUGUCAGACUUGGGACCGGGAGAGGUAAGAGGUACUACAGGGGUAGGAGUGAAAUCUUGUAAUCCCUGUGAGACCACCAGUGGCGAAGGCGUCUUACCAGAACGGGUCCGACGGUGAGGGACGAAAGCUGGGGGCACGAACCGGAUUAGAUACCCGGGUAGUCCCAGCCGUAAACGAUGUUCGCUAGGUGUCAGGGACGGUGCGACCGUUUCUGGUGCCGUAGGGAAGCCGUGAAGCGAACCACCUGGGAAGUACGGCCGCAAGGCUGAAACUUAAAGGAAUUGGCGGG
rnacentral:rRNA from 1 species